rnacentral:rRNA from 1 species
CUACGGGCUGCUGCAGGCGAGAAAACUUUGCAAUGUGCGAAAGCACGACAAGGUUAAUCCGAGUGGUUUCUGCUAAAGGAACCUUUUGUCGGUCCUAGAAACACCGAUGAAUAAGGGGUGGGCAAGUUCUGGUGUCAGCCGCCGCGGUAAAACCAGCACCUCAAGUGGUCAGGAUGAUUAUUGGGCCUAAAGCAUCCGUAGCCGGCUCUGUAAGUUUUCGGUUAAAUCUGUACGCUUAACGUACAGGCUGCCGGGAAUACUGCAUAGCUAGGGAAUGGGAGAGGUAGACGGUACUCGGUAGGAAGGGGUAAAAUCCUUUGAUCUAUUGAUGACCACCUGUGGCGAAGGCGGUCUACCAGAACACGUCCGACGGUGAGGGAUGAAAGCUGGGGGAGCAAACCGGAUUAGAUACCCUCGUAGUC